rnacentral:rRNA from 1 species
GUGGGGAAUAUUGCACAAUGGGCGCAAGCCUGAUGCAGCCAUGCCGCGUGUAUGAAGAAGGCCUUCGGGUUGUAAAGUACUUUCAGCGAGGAGGAAGGCAUUAAGGUUAAUAACCUUAGUGAUUGACGUUACUCGCAGAAGAAGCACCGGCUAACUCCGUGCCAGCAGCCGCGGUAAUACGGAGGGUGCAAGCGUUAAUCGGAAUUACUGGGCGUAAAGCGCACGCAGGCGGUCUGUUAAGUCAGAUGUGAAAUCCCCGGGCUCAACCUGGGAACUGCAUUUGAAACUGGCAGGCUUGAGUCUUGUAGAGGGGGGUAGAAUUCCAGGUGUAGCGGUGAAAUGCGUAGAGAUCUGGAGGAAUACCGGUGGCGAAGGCGGCCCCCUGGACAAAGACUGACGCUCAGGUGCGAAAGCGUGGGGAGCAAACAGGAUUAGAAACCCCAGUAGUCC